rnacentral:rRNA from 1 species
UACGUACUGUGCGAACGUUAUUCGGAAUCACUGGGCUUAAAGGGUGCGUAGGCGGUUACUUAAGUAGGGUGUGAAAUCCCAUGGCUCAACCAUGGAACUGCGCUCUAAACUGGGUGACUUGAGUGAGAUAGGGGUAUGCGGAACUUCCAGUGGAGCGGUGAAAUGUGUAGAUAUUGGAAGGAACACCGGUGGCGAAGGCGGCAUACUGGGUCUUAACUGACGCUGAGGCACGAAAGCUAGGGUAGCGAACGGGAUUAGAUACCCGGGUAGUCC